UUUAUGGAGAGUUUGAUCCUGGCUCAGGACGAACGCUGGCGGCGUGCUUAACACAUGCAAGUCGAACGGAAAGGC
rnacentral:rRNA from 1 species